UACGAAGGGGGCGAGCGUUGUUCGGAAUUACUGGGCGUAAAGGGCGCGCAGGCGGCUCGACAAGUCAGAUGUGAAAGCCCCGGGCUCAACCUGGGAAUGGCAUUUGGGACUGUCGGGCUAGAGUUCGGGAGAGGUGGGUGGAAUUCCCAGUGUAGAGGUGAAAUUCGUAGAUAUUGGGAAGAACACCGGUGGCGAAGGCGGCUCACUGGACCGAGACUGACGCUGAGGCGCGAAAGCGUGGGGAGCAAACAGG
rnacentral:rRNA from 1 species